rnacentral:rRNA from 1 species
UACAGAGGGUGCGAGCGUUGUCCGGAAUUACUGGGCGUAAAGGGCGCGUAGGCGGUUCGAUAAGUAGGGGGUGAAAUUCUUCGGCUCAACCGAGGACCUGCCUUCUAGACUGUCGGACUUGAGCAUGGUAGAGGCAGAUGGAAUUCCCGGUGUAGCGGUGGAAUGCGUAGAGAUCGGGAAGAACACCAGUGGCGAAGGCGGUCUGCUGGGCCAUUGCUGACGCUGAGGCGCGAUAGCGUGGGGAGCAAACAGG